CUAUCAGGUAGUUGGUGAGGUAACGGCUCACCAAGCCAAUGACGGAUAUCUGGUUUGAGAGGAUGAUCAGACACACUGGAACUGAGACACGGUCCAGACUCCUACGGGAGGCAGCAGUGGGGAAUAUUGCACAAUGGAGGAAACUCUGAUGCAGCAACGCCGCGUGGAGGAUGACGCAUUUCGGUGUGUAAACUCCUUUUAAGAGGGAAGAUUAUGACGGUACCUCUUGAAUAAGCACCGGCUAACUCCGUGCCAGCAGCCGCGGUAAUACGGAGGGUGCAAGCGUUACUCGGAAUCACUGGGCGUAAAGGGUGCGUAGGCUGACUUUUAAGUCAGGCGUGAAAUCCAAUGGCUUAACCAUUGAACUGCGCUUGAAACUGGGAGUCUAGAGUUCAGAAGGGGCAGAUGGAAUUAGUGGUGUAGGGGUAAAAUCCGUAGAUAUCACUAGGAAUAUCAAAAGCGAAGGCGAUCUGCUGGGAUGAUACUGACGCUGAGGCACGAAAGCGUGGGGAGCAAACAGGAUUAGAUACCCUGGUAGUCCACGCCCUAAACGAUGAAUGCUAGUCGUCGGGGAGCUCGUCUCUUCGGUGAUGCACUUAACAGAUUAAGCAUUCCGCCUGGGGAGUACGGUCGCAAGAUUAAAACUCAAAGGAAUAGACGGGGACCCGCACAAGUGGUGGAGCAUGUGGUUUAAUUCGAAGAUACACGAAGAACCUUACCUGGCCUUGACAUGGUAGGAACCCUGUAGAGAUACGGGGGUGCUGGCUUGCUAGAGCCUACACACAGGUGCUGCACGGCUGUCGUCAGCUCGUGUCGUGAGAUGUUGGGUUAAGUCCCGCAACGAGCGCAACCCUCGUCCUUAGUUGCUAACGGUUCGGCCGAGCACUCUAAGGAGACUGCCUUCGCAAGGAGGAGGAAGGUGAGGACGACGUCAAGUCAUCAUGGCCCUUACGGCCAGGGCUACACACGUGCUACAAUGGGGCGUACAGAGAGCUGCGAUACCGCGAGGUGGAGCCAAUCUCUUAAAGCGUCUCUCAGUUCGGAUUGUUCUCUGCAACUCGAGAACAUGAAGCUGGAAUCACUAGUAAUCGCAGAUCAGCUAUGCUGCGGUGAAUACGUUCCCGGGUCUUGUACUCACCGCCCGUCACACCAUGGGAGUUGAUUUCACCCGAAAUCGGGAUGC
rnacentral:rRNA from 1 species